UUACUUUUAAAGCUAUGUUUUCUUCUGACUAGGGAUGCACCGAUCCAACUUUUUCAGUCCCGAUACCGAUGCCUGGCCUUUGUGUCACUGUCAAUACCCGAUACCGAUCCGAUACGUUGUUGAAUUAAUAAUAAACUGUAUACCUUCCACCUUAUACCUUUCUUCCACCAUGUGGAAAG